rnacentral:rRNA from 1 species
AGCGAACGCUGGCGGCAGGCCUAACACAUGCAAGUCGAACGAACUCUUCGGAGUUAGUGGCGGACGGGUGAGUAACACGUGGGAACGUGCCUUUUGGUUCGGAAUAACUCAGGGAAACUUGUGCUAAUACCGAAUGUGCCUUUCGGGGGAAAGAUUUAUCGCCAUUAGAGCGGCCCGCGUCUGAUUAGCUAGUUGGUGAGGUAACGGCUCACCAAGGCGACGAUCAGUAGCUGGUCUGAGAGGAUGACCAGCCACACUGGGACUGAGACACGGCCCAGACUCCUACGGGAGGCAGCAGUGGGGAAUCUUGCGCAAUGGGCGAAAGCCUGACGCAGCCAUGCCGCGUGAAUGAUGAAGGUCUUAGGAUUGUAAAAUUCUUUCACCGGGGACGAUAAUGACGGAACCCGGAGAAGAAGCCCCGGCUAACUUCGG